GUCCACGCUGUAAACGAUGAUUACUCGGUAUUGGUCUUUUGAUCAGUGCCUAAGCGAAAGUGAUAAGUAAUCCACCUGGGGAGUACGAUCGCAAGAUUGAAACUCAAAGGAAUUGACGGGGGCCCCGCACAAGCGGUGGAGCAUGUGGUUUAAUUCGAUGAUACGCGAGGAACCUUACCAAGACUUGAACGCAUUUUGACAGUCCCGGAAACGGGAUCUUCUUCGGACAAUUUGCGAGGUGCUGCAUGGUUGUCGU
rnacentral:rRNA from 1 species